rnacentral:lncRNA from 1 species
UUGGUUCUUUGCCGAUGAGUUCCCUUCAGUCUCUGGAGGUUGCUCUGAACUCUGUUUUCUCUUCUCUCACUAUCUUUUUCCUGCCAGGGUAAUAGGAAUAGAAUUCCUUUUGUUUCACUGAAACUCUGAAUUUAUAACCUGAUUUUUGUAGACCUGUGGGCUCAAAUGAGAGAGGCCCAAAUCCAAAAAUUUUCUGUUAUAUUUUAUUUAUUUAUUUAUUUUUCUUUUUUUCUUUUUUUUUUCUUUUUUUUUUCGUUU